rnacentral:rRNA from 1 species
GUGGGGAAUCUUGCGCAAUGGGCGAAAGCCUGACGCAGCCAUGCCGCGUGGAUGAUGAAGGUCUUAGGAUUGUAAAAUUCUUUCACCGGGGACGAUAAUGACGGUACCCGGAGAAGAAGCUCCGGCUAACUUCGUGCCAGCAGCCGCGGUAAUACGAAGGGGGCUAGCGUUGCUCGGAAUUACUGGGCGUAAAGGGCGCGUAGGCGGACAGCUUAGUCAGAGGUGAAAGCCCAGGGCUCAACCUUGGAAUUGCCUUUGAUACUGGCUGUCUUGAGUUUGGGAGAGGUGAGUGGAACUCCGAGUGUAGAGGUGAAAUUCGUAGUUAUUCGGAAGAACACCAGUGGCGAAGGCGACUCACUGGCCCAAUACUGACGCUGAGGCGCGAAAGCGUGGGGAGCAAACAGGAUUAGAUACCCGGGUAGUCC